ensembl:snRNA U6 U6 spliceosomal RNA
AUAUUAGUUUCAGCAGCACAUAUACUAAACUUGAAAUGAUACAGAGAUUAGUGUGGCCCCUUCAUAAAGAUGACACACAAAUUUAUUUAUUAUUCCAUAUUUUU